GAUGAAGAACGCAGCGAAAUGCGAUAAGUAGUGUGAAUUGCAGAAUUCAGUGAAUCAUCGAAUCUUUGAACGCACAUUGCGCCCCAUGGUAUUCCGUGGGGCAUGCCUGUUCGAGCGUCAUUUACCCCCUCAAGCUCAGCUUGGUGUUGGGCCCCGCCGCCCCGGCGGGCCCUAAAGUCAGUGGCGGUGCCGUCCGGCUCCGAGCGUAGUAAUUCUUCUCGCUCUGGAGGUCCGGUCGUGUGCUCGCCAGCAACCCCCAAUUUUUUUCAGGUUGACCUCGGAUCAGGUAGGGAUACCCGCUGAACUUAAGCAUAUCAAUAAGCGGAGGA
rnacentral:misc_RNA from 1 species